UCUCUCCUACGGGACGCAGCAGUAGGGAAUCUUCCACAAUGGACGAAAGUCUGAUGGAGCAACGCCGCGUGAGUGAAGAAGGGUUUCGGCUCGUAAAGCUCUGUUGGUAGUGAAGAAAGAUAGAGGUAGUAACUGGCCUUUAUUUGACGGUAAUUACUUAGAAAGUCACGGCUAACUACGUGCCAGCCGCCGCGGUAAUACGGAGGUGGCAAGCGUUGUCCGGAUUUAUUUGGCGUAAA
rnacentral:rRNA from 1 species